AUACGUAGGUGACAAGCGUUAUCCGGAUUUACUGGGCGUAAAGGGCGUGUAGGCGGUCUUGCAAGUCAGAAGUGAAAUUCCUGAGCUCAACUCGGGCGCUGCUUCUGAAACUGCAGGACUUGAGUACUGGAGAGGAUAGUGGAAUUCCUAGUGUAGCGGUAAAAUGCGUAGAUAUUCGGAGGAACACCAGUGGCGAAGGCGGCUAUCUGGACAGUAACUGACGCUGAGGCGCGAAAGCGUGGGGAGCAAACAGGAUUAGAUACCCUGGUAGUCGACGCCGUAAACGAUGAAUACUAGGUGUAGGGGGUAUCGACUCCCUCUGUGCCGCAGUUAACACAAUAAGUAUUCCGCCUGGGGAGUACGGCCGCAAGGUUGAAACUCAAAUGAAUUGACGGGG
rnacentral:rRNA from 1 species